rnacentral:miRNA from 1 species
UUUUCAGUGCAAGUAUAUCCCAUGCAAGAUUUGAGAUAUACUUAUGCUAAAG